CGGGUCCUGAGCACAAGAAAAAGCAAAAGGGUUUCCAUCUCCUGGACUGUGCCCAGAGCGUACAGGGGAGAACCAUUGAAAAGUUUUUGAUUUAACUUAACUCAAAGAAGCUACAACUGUCCUUUCCCAAGCACAGAGCCCCAUUCUCCACUCUGCAGGAAUAGCCCACCUCAGGGACCCAAGACCCUGAGUGUUAACUGGCAGGAUUCCCUGGGAAUUCGCCCAUCGCGUGGAGGAGGGGUGAAGAAGCUGGAGGUUCCACCCCCACAAUCCACAGAUUCAGGGGCAACCUUUGCAGACAGCGGCUACACCGUGGAUCCAGGCAGCCUGGCUUGGGCAGGGCUCUCCCAGCUCUUGGCAUGGUUCUCCCCAGGCCGUGCGUGGUUCAUCCCCAGAUGUGAACUGGGUGAGCCUCUCUCUAGCUAUUUACGCAGCUGCCGUUCAGCUCGUAAGCUGUCCAGGAGGGCCCAGGAGAGCCAGGCGCCGGAGUGCGGAGGGGAGCAGAUGUCUGUCCUUUGCAGCACAGGGUCGUCCACGUACUGAGAGAGAUUGUUGCCUUCCACCCGGAUCAAGUGGCUGGCUGGAGCAGACUGGCCUGCAGAGGGGAGAGUUAGAGGAAAGACCCUUCUCGGUGGGCUUGCCGACCCAAGAACGUUGCACAGGGUGAUUAUAAAAUCCGUUUACUUAAACCAGGGCAAAAGGCAGUGUGGACGCUCACAUUUUGGUUUACACCACAUGCAUUUUAGUUUAGCUUAAGU